ensembl:lncRNA
GGCACAUGUGCAGCACAGGAAAGUAAAAGGUGCCAAAGGGUUGUAAUAUUUGGAGUGCCACAAUUGUAAACCAGCUGCUCUUAUUCAGGUCUAACAGCCCUUUAAGUGGCUGCUAUAUGUUUUGACAUCCACUGGUUCUCUUCUAUCCAGGGCACUACAUGGCCUUUGACUCAAGUGCCAUAACAGAUCAGAUUGCUCAUCUUCAGAGUGAGGUGAUGGAGCCUGAAUCUCAAGGUUGUUUGGAGUUCUGGUACCACAUGAAUAUGUGGGGCAGCGACAAGCUUAAACUAGCAGUUUAUGUAAAUGAGUCUGGUUCUCUACGCUGUCUGUGGAAUCGAACUGGGAAUCAGCAGAAUGUGUGGCACCAUCUCACUGUUGACUACAAAUCAUCUGAACGACACCAGAUUGUGUUUGAAGCCGUGCGUAAAUUCUUAGACUCUGGGGUCAUUGCUUUGGAUGACAUCUAUAUCAGGAGGAACACACGCUGCUCUGAUCUUACCCCAACAACACCUGCACCCACAACCGAGCCCACCUCUCCACCUGCGUCCUCGAUGGACUGCAACUUUCAGGAGGGUAAGAGACAUAUCAUCAAAACAUGGAUGUGUACUACUGUAUAUAUACAAGUGUAA